AUCUCCACCACCACCCUCACCGUCUCCUCCACCACCUUACAUUUAUAAAUUGCCACCCCCUCCAUCACCAUCACCUCCUCCUCCAUAUGUAUAUAAAUCUCCACCACCUCCCUCACCGUCUCCUCCACCUCCUUACGUAUAUAAAUCACCACCACCACCAUCUUCAUCACCUCUACCUCCAUAUGUUUACAAGUCACCACCACCUCCAUCACCUCCACCUCCAUAUAUGUACAAAUCACCACCACCCCUAUCUCAAUUCCCACAUUCUCCAUACCACUACAAGUCUCCUCCACCUCCAAUCCAUUGGCGACAUCCUCCAUACUUCCAUAAGUCACCUUAUCCACCAUCCAAGUCUCCUCCUCCCGCAUCUCACUGGCCACAUCCACCAUACCUCCGUAAAUCACCUCCUCCACCAUCCAAGUUUUCUCCAAUCCCAUAUUAUUACAAAUCACCACCACCGCCAAAGGGCUAUUAAACUUCAAUAUUCAAACCCCUGAAUCAAUUUGAAUUGUUACACGAAUAAUCACUUUCCAGCUUGGAUGUUAUGUAUGGUAUAUUCAGCAUUGUAAUUUUUUGUUUGUUUUUUUUAUUGAACAAGAGUCCUUAUGUGGAAUAAGGGCCUGAAACGAGAUCCUCUAUGAUCCAUAUAUAAGCAUGAAGAACCAGUGUGAUUUUCUUCCAUUAUAAGCAAUAGUUGGUGCAGUCUUCCGCAAGUGCCCCUUGCUCUUGUUGAAUGUGAUCUUGUUAAGGGGCUCCAUCUGUGGCGACCUCUGCUCAUAUCUAACCCAAUUGUAUGCUAAAGCACAUAAAAAUCGUGAUAGUGUUUGGACCAGUAAAGCAGAGGCAAAUUAUGACAAGAUGAUAUCUCUUAAGGAAACUGUUGUGGAUCCAUCUGAUGAAUCAUCUGUUAACAAUGCUCAGAUCAUUUCUCAAGUUCUUAGAUCACGUUCUGGAUAUUUAAGGGGCCUAGGAUGUUGCGUGAAGCCAUCAUUAACAUCAUCAUCCUCUUCUCAAGUCCAGAUCAAAUGACGACAAGACUAAGGAAUUGGAGGAAGCAACACUUGAGAUAAAACGAUUGAGAUCCAAGGAAAAAAAGUUGCUGACCCGAUUAAAUCAAGCAACGAAUUUAGAGACGAGAUUAGAAAAGAGGCUGCAGUUGAAUAACCAAAAAAUGUUUGAAUAGUUCCAGUCAAUCGUGAUGUCCCAAAACUCUA